rnacentral:rRNA from 1 species
AGCGAACGCUGGCGGCAGGCCUAACACAUGCAAGUCGAACGAAGUCUUCGGACUUAGUGGCGGACGGGUGAGUAACACGUGGGAACGUACCUUUUGGUUCGGAACAACUCAGGGAAACUUGAGCUAAUACCGGAUGAGCCCUUAGGGGGAAAGAUUUAUCGCCGAAAGAGCGGCCCGCGUUAGAUUAGCUAGUUGGUGUGGUAAAGGCUCACCAAGGCUACGAUCUAUAGCUGGUCUGAGAGGAUGAUCAGCCACACUGGGACUGAGACACGGCCCAGACUCCUACGGGAGGCAGCAGUGGGGAAUCUUGCGCAAUGGGCGAAAGCCUGACGCAGCCAUGCCGCGUGAAUGAUGAAGGUCUUAGGAUUGUAAAAUUCUUUUACCAGGGACGAUAAUGACGGUACCUGGAGAAAAAGCCCCGGCUAACUUCGUGCCAGCAGCCGCGGUAAAAC